GACGAACCGUGCGAACGUUGUUCGGAUUCACUGGGCUUAAAGGGCGCGUAGGCGGCUGUCCCAGUCCGGGGUGAAAUCUUUCGGCUCAACCGGAAAAUGGCCUUGGAUACUGGACAGCUCGAGGGAGGUAGGGGCAACCGGAACGGCCAGUGGAGCGGUGAAAUGCGUUGAUAUUGGCAGGAACGCCGGUGGCGAAAGCGGGUUGCUGGAUCUCUCCUGACGCUGAGGCGCGAAAGCUAGGGUAGCAAACGGG
rnacentral:rRNA from 1 species